rnacentral:snRNA from 1 species
GGAUGUGAGGGCGAUCUGGCUGCAACAUCUGUCAUCCCACUGAUCGCCAGGGUUGAUUCGGCGGGUGUCCCCUUCCUCCUUCAACACUCCAAGUACCUCCCUCCAGAAGCUGCGCAAUCCGUCCAAGAAGAAGAUGACGUUCCCCGAUAGAGGAAGACCGGUCUUCAGUCAAGGGUAUAUGAGUAGCUGCACUCCCCUGCUAGAACCUCCAAACAAGCUCUCAAGAAAGCAAUGUUUAUAAAAUAUUGUCAAUUUUUUUUUUUUUAAAGAAAAGCCAUGUGUUCAGAAGGUACUGGAAGACUUCAACAU